AGAAUCAACGCUGGCGGCGUGCCUCAGACAUGCAAGUCGAACGCGAAAGUUCCCUUCGGGGAGCGAGUAGAGUGGCGCACGGGUGAGUAACACGUAGGUAAUCUACCUUUGGGUGGGAAUAACAGCCGGAAACGGCUGCUAAUACCGCAUAAUGCAGGCGGCUCGACAUCGAGACAGUUGUAAAGCGGGGAUCGCAAGACCUCGCGACCUAAAGAGGAGCCUGCGGCGGAUUAGCUAGUUGGUAGGGUAAUGGCUCACGAAGGCAUCGAUCCGA
rnacentral:rRNA from 1 species